UUAAAAAGCUCGUAGUCGGAUUUUGGCUGAGAACGGUCGGUCCGCCGUUAGGUGUGCACUGACUGGUCUCAGCUUCCUGGUGAGGAGGUGUGCUUCAUCGCCACUUAGUCACCGUGGUUACUUUGAAAAAAUUAGAGUGUUCAAAGCGGGCUUACGCUUGAAUAUAUUAGCAUGGAAUAACACCAUAGGACUCCUGUCCUAUUUCGUUGGUCUCGGGACGGGAGUAAUGAUUAAGAGGAACAGUUGGGGGCAUUCGUAUUUCAUUGUCAGAGGUGAAAUUCUUGGAUUUAUGAAAGACGAACUUCUGCGAAAGCAUUUGCCAAGGAUGUUUUCAUUGAUCAAGAACGAAAGUUGGGGGCUCGAAGAUGAUUAGAUACCAUCCUAGUCUCAACCAUAAACGAUGCCGACUAGGGAUUGGCGGAUGUUAAUUGAUGACUUCGCCAGCACCUUAUGAGAAAUCAAAGUUUUUGGGUUCCGGGGGGAGUAUGGUCGCAAGGCUGAAACUUAAAGGAGUUGACGGAAGGGCACCACCAGGCGUGGAGCCUGCGGCUUAAUUUGACUCAACACGGGGAAACUUACCGGGUCCAGACAUAGUAAGGAUUGACAGAUUGAGAGCUCUUUCU
rnacentral:rRNA from 1 species